CCUACGGGUGGCUGCAGUGGGGAAUAUUGCGCAAUGGGCGAAAGCCUGACGCAGCGACGCCGCGUGAGGGAUGAAGGUCUUCGGAUCGUAAACCUCUGUCAGCAGGGAAGAACGGUCACUGUGCUAAUCAGCAGUGAAUUGACGGUACCUGCAAAGGCAGCACCGGCUAACUCCGUGCCAGCAGCCGCGGUAAUACGGAGGGUGCGAGCGUUAAUCGGAAUUACUGGGCGUAAAGCGCUCGUAGGCGGUAUGUCAAGUCAAGGGUGAAAUCCCCGCGCGCAACGUGGGAACUGCCUUUGAUACUGGCAAGCUGGAGUGUGUGAGAGGAUAGUGGAAUUCCAGGUGUAGGAGUGAAAUCCGUAGAUAUCGGGAGGAACAUCAGUGGCGAAGGCGACUAUCUGGAACAUAACUGACGCUGAGGAGCGAAAGCGUGGGUAGCAAACAGGAUUAGAUACCCUUGUAGUC
rnacentral:rRNA from 1 species